UGCUCAAAUGACACGAAAUGACAUGAAGCUAAAUGUAAAGAUUGUAGGCUGGGUUUGUCGGGCCUAAAGGGCGUCGCAGUGUGUUUGACAUUCCAGCAUAAAAGCUGCAGACAAGAACAAUGCGCGGACACUGGACACCUGGCGUUCACCUCGUCUAUUAUUCAUCAUUUUAAAAACGAGUUCUGCAGGUUUCCCUCAAAGCCUUGUUUAUGUUGAAAUCAGAGGACCUUCACAAAAAGAGAAGCUUUAUUAGAGGAGGAGCCUGUCAGCAGCAGGCUAACAGUGCUGCUAUCCAAGUGAAAUGGAGCUGAAUGGGCCGUCCACAGCUUUCCUCAGAGCAGUUUUUUCAAGCUCUGAAAACAACAGGACUACAGUUUUUUGGCAAGUGACCUCUUGUGGUUCCAAAGAAGAAAUAGAAUGAUGUCACUAUCUGAUAACAACCUCGAUGAAGACAUCAGCAAAACAAGUGAUUUUCUCUCCACUAUUUUCUUUCCUUACAUUAAACAUGUUUUCUUCAAAGUCCUUGAAGCAAGUGUUGCAAAUUAUCUGUAAACACCUUUAAACUUA